rnacentral:lncRNA from 1 species
UUUUUUUUUUUGGGUUCGAUUCUCUGUCGCGAGUGAAAUUCAGACAAUUUCAUCUGGACUUCCUAGUCAUAUAAACGAAUCCAGCUUCAGUAAAAAAAAAUGAAGAAAAAUCAAUGGUAGUAUCAGCAAGUCAUCUAAUCACAUCGUUCUGUUGGUUAUUUUAGUUAGCGCCAUCAAUAUGAAUCCUUUCUUCACUGCCACUAGCACCGACUCGAGAUCAGUAAUCAAGAAGCAGCAGCAUGGACGCUUCCACCACGGCCGCCGGCGCCUUCUGCCGGGGACCCACGCGAGGCGGGUCCUCGCACCACCACGUGCGCCACGGCCAUCACCGGCGCGGCAUGAACCUUGCCGCCACUACCUUCUGCCGGGGAACUAGGAGGGGAGGCUCCUCGCAUCACCACUCGCGCCGUCGCGGCCAACGGCGCAGCGUGGACUUUCCCGCCGCCGCCUUGCUUGGGCUCGCCGGGCCCCCCUUUCGGAGGAGGAGCGCGGCCUCUCCUCGCCGUCCGCAGCUGCUGGGCCGCCGCCGCCGCAUGCGCAUCCACUCCUCGCGGCACACUCGCCAGACUUAUGGCUGGAGGCGCAGCAGGGCGGUAGAGAGCGACGCCGAGGCUGGACGGCACGUUCCGCGGAAGCUGCCGCGGGAGCGGGCUAGUUGGCGCAGACGACGGCGACGACAUGGCUUCCGUGUGGCUUUGCUCGGUCUCGGAUCGGUCGUCGAGCUAGCUAGUAGAUGGCUCAAGCUCUCGAUCGGUGACCGAAACGAUCUCUUGGUCGUGUUCGAUCACUUGCGCUGGUCUCGCUUCGUAUCUGAUGAUGAAUUCCUUGCACCGAUGCAUCAGCCGAUGGAUGCCUCGUUGGAUGCCUGCAGGUCGUGGUCGAGCUCUGGUUUAUACUGAGAGCAUGGGGAGUAGAGCACGGAGCACGAGGGCCAGUUGUAUGAAAAGUCGUCCAAGUCAAAGCUUACGCGUUUGCUACCACUUCAAAACUACGUACUGGCUGUAGUCGUGGACUGAGUCACUGGGAUUAGCGGCUUACAAAAUGUUUUGAUCCGGUCAGCGUUGUGGCCGUACGCCCGUUGGUCUCAAGUCUGCUCUAUCGCAUUCACAUGGGUCCGGUCAGUCUGUACCCAUGCAUGCUGGUGUGGUGGUUCAAAACUAAAGAUUGAUAUAUGCUCUUACACAUGUCAAUUAAUUACAUUAUUCCUUAAAAAUACUUAUUGCAUGUUUUCGGUUGAGAAUUCCUUAUGCAAUAUUCCCAUAUAGUUCAUUUUGAAUUUUUAACAGUAUUUCUAAUAUUUUUUUCUAGAGGGAUAUGUAGAUCAAAGGUGAAGCAUUUUUUUUUCAUAUCACUAUGGAUGUCUGUAAAAAAACAUGAACGUCUAGCAAUAGAUAUGCGAAUUUACUAAGAGACUUAAAUUAAUUACAAGUGUGUUUUGACACUAUUUGCUUGGCCGGUCUGGCCAUUAGCAUUAGAUAUUUUGUAGUUGAAGGUUCAACUACCUGGCCAACAACCAACUGGCCCUCGUAUCCCUAUGAAUAGGGCAUAAACCAAAUCAAGAGCGAAAGAUACCAUUAUCUUAGUAAAGUUCCAUCCUGAUUGAUGUCGUUGUUGUAAAGUGAGCAAGAAAAAUAGACACAAGAAGAUCACUCACGUAUUACAUCCUAAUUUAACUUGCUUACAAGAGUAAAAUUUUGAGAGACAAAAUUGUUCUACAUAUGAUAUUUCCUUAACAUAUGAAUGACUAUUCCUAUAUGAUCUUUUGCUUUAGGACUAGUUGUAUUAAAAAGUGAAACCGAUGCAUUAAGUGAUUUUACUACUACACGUGUCAUGAAAAUAUAUUACAUUGUACAUUUCAACCUCUCUUUAAGCACACAAGCAUUAUUAUACUUCAUGACAAGUAAUAAAUCACUUUGAUAACUAAAAUGCCCAGUUCAAAAAUAUAUAUAACAUAUGUUUUAUGAUUGUUUGGUAUAAUUUUUGUGUAAUCCAACUAUUUAUGUAUAUGAUAAACGAAACAAUUAAAUAUUUACAUAAAAUUGAAGAUUGUAUUUGGGGAUGUUAUAGUUAGCUAGCAUUAACAAUAAUUCUGAAAUCCAUAUCAUGAACAUGAACAUGAUGAUGAAACCAAUAAUUACUCCCUUCAUAUAUUUCUCCCAAGGAUUCUUUUUUUUUGUUCUGAACAAAUUAAACUAGCUGUUGAGGUACAAAAAGACAUAAGUCUAUACAUAUAUCAUCCACAGAACAAAUACAAAAGUAAAGUUCUUCGGUCAAUUUUCUGAAAAUAUAUUCGUGCAACUUAAUUUUCCAGAAAACGAAACUCCAGAAAACACUUUCUAGAAAAUUUUUUGAUUUUUUUUUCUCAUGGCAAUUUUAACUCCCUUGGAGUAUAUAUCUUUGUUGGGAAAAGCUAGCUUUCAUUUUCUUGAAAAAGGUGCGGUGCUUUUGAUAUGCCCUGCAUGACAAAGAUUUGCAUUAGGUUUUUGAAAGAAAAAAAGAACACACACCUUGCGUUGGUAGAUCAGAUCGAUUCGAAAGAACUAGAAUAAAGCCUAGCAAGAUCUUGAUAGAUCAUGAUCUAUCAGUUGUACUUACACACCAUGAAGGAGAUGUAGUAGCCCUGCUAGUCCAAAUGAUCGAUCCAUGGACGUACGGGGCAGGAGCUGACAGGCGCACUACACGAACAUGACACUCUUGUAUGUCAACUAGUACCUAUUGGAUGCACCCACACAAAGGUGAUACAAUUUCUCUGACGGUAAUAGAUAACACACUGCAAAACAAUGUGUAACACAUAUUCAUAUAAAAUAAGCAAAUCUCCUCUGCAUAUACUCAUAUAAAAUAAGCAAAUCUCUUCCAAAUAUUAACCAUCAAGCCGUAACCAAAUGAUAAUAAGAAUUAGUAAUGUAGGAACCUAGAAAUAUAGAAAUCUACAUUUCAUUUUGAUGGAAUUAAAAAACAACUAUUCAUUGUUUUGCAAAAAAAGAAUGGGUGAAAGAAAUAUAGAAUAAGAAAAAAUGUUGGAAAAAAUCUAAAUUGACGCAAACGUCACAGUGACGGUGUAAUACAAACCUGGCUUGGAUUUGGAUGAAGCACGUGAAUGGAUAAGAUCAUCGGAUAAUGCACAAAAUUGUAAAUCAACAGAUAAAUAUCUUUGUCACCAUUCGCUUUGUUGUUAAGGAGGUGUAAAUUAAAAUUACAUUUUCUCCCCUGAGACACAUAAUAACUAACUAUUUGGCCUUAAUUAUCCCCAUCUAGCAGACUAGCACCACAUCCUGCUUAUGCAAGGUUUUUCCUCUAUUGUAAAAGUAAAUAGCUACAUGUCUGAAGUCUUACAGGACAACACUACAUCACUGGCACACUAGUAGUAAUGAGCUCUUGCUUAUUUGUGUAUAUAUAGAUAUUAGAGAGAGAAACAUAUGAAGUUUGUCUACUUGUGUAUUGAGAGUGCGUUAAUUCAUGUGCUAGUCUAUGUAAAUGACAUGCUAGGAUAAAAAAAUUAGAGAUAUAAACUAUGCCCACUAUCUCAUGGAAUUGUCAAGUAUAGUGCAUGGACUUAAUAUUGGGUCUUAUACUACAAGAACUAUUACGUAUGCAUGGACUGAGUAUCACACAAGUGUUAUACUAUGUCAACUAUUAUGUAAAUGUGUGUUUGCAUUGGUGGCAAAUUGGAGACCCUAUAGUUUCCACCGAUCCUCUCUAGUUCAACAAAAGUACCUUAUUUUGUAGUAGUGAAGAAUCUAUAGUUUGGAAUGAAAAUUCCCCAAUUUUAACAUACUAGAAACAUAUUUGUGCUCAAGGCUUCAAGCAAUGACUUCAACAUUGCAUGCUACAGAACCCAAGAGGUCUGAUACUGCAGUCUACGAACAACCCUUUCUUAGGUUGCAUCCGUACUCAUGCAUUGUGGUACAAAAUAUGAUGAAGUACAAGAGUGUUGUGUUAAUGAUGAAACACAAGUUCAGCCAGCACAAGACAAGAUUGUAGCACAUACAUAAUGUUUGAGUUUCUACACAAAAAUCAAGCAUGUUGAAGGCUGAAUGAUUUUUUUUACUUUAAUGAUAUUCCAUAUGCAAGUUAUAAAUCUAUUAUCCGAAUUUGGGUAAUAACAGGUAUAGUACCGACUUGCAUAGGGCGGACGAAGUUAAAAUUUAGUGUUAAUCGAUGUGACUGACGAAAACUAAGCUUUUGCUUAAUAGGUGGAUGAAAACAUUGUUUCCAUCUGUUGGUCGAGCAUGUUUUCGUCCAAUGUGGGGAUAAAAAUUGAAGGCUCCCCCCCUCCGCCCCCAAUGGACAAGCACUGCAUCUUUAUCCGUCCAUCGGAUGAACACUCAAUUUUCGUAUGUUUAGUGAACAAAGAGUCAAUUUUCAUAUGUCCUUUGGAUGAAAGCUCAAUUGUCGUUCAUCAAGCAAACGGCCAUCCUAUAAUCUUGUAAUUACUCUAUUCGAGGAAUAACUCCUGUAAAUAAUGUAUGGAACAGUAUUAAUGUAAAAAAAACUCAUGACUAAAAAGAUACACAUAGGUAGCAGCACCUAUAUUAUUAUUUACUGUACUUUUUUUUUAUUUCCAUUCUCUAUUCGAAUACCUCUGAAUUUCAUGUCAUGCAUACAUGUAACUACGGCCUGUGCACGUAUCCUUGGAAUCUUAUUGCAAUCUAAUUCAGCUUUUAUACAAAAGAAAAGAAACAAUAGAGGUAUUAGGCUAGUAGCUACUAAUCUGUCCGUUAAAAUUGUGGUUGCUUCGCUUGUCUUUAAUGGAUGCUUCCACCUUGACCGCCGCGUCCUUCCUUCGGCAAACGGCCGGGCGGCGCCGGGGCUCGUGGCACUCUCUUCGCCGCCAACGUCGGCGCGGGAUGAAUCUUCCCGCCACCGCCGCCGCCUCCUUCCUUGGGCGGCCGCUUGGGAGGCUGAGGACCACGGCCUGCCCUCGCCGCCCGCAGCUCGGUCGCAGCCGCGUCGUCCACUACCUGACGCAGCAGCAAACCGCUCGCGGCAGCGAUGCCGUCGUCGCCGCGCCCUGCCGCUGCCUCGUCGUGGUACGAAGCCGCCGCGACGGGUCUCAGACCUCUCGUUGCCGGCUGCUGAAGGCGGACGGAAGGCGGAGAAGGCCGGUGGAGCGCGCGAAGACCAAGGCGGGAGGACGACGUCCCAUACCGCAGGAGCUGGAGCGGGAGGGAGAGCGAAGGGGACGAAGACGACGCCAUGGCUUGCAGAGGCCCGAGCUCUCGGUGGUCUGUCGAUGGAUGGGUAGAUGGAUGCAGGAAGCUGCCGAUGGCGCGCCUAUUUGUAAUGGAUGGAUGGGAGCAGAGGACGAUGCAGCGGGAGAGGGACAGCCGGACAGGUGGCGUUUGACUUUCCAGUUUUAAUGGCUAGUACACACGUGUGUUCAGACACGGAGAACUCGAUGGGAACAGGACGUACGAGGCCAAUUCAAGAUUUUGUCUUUUCUUUUCUUUUCCUUUCCGAACGGGUCAAUUCAAGAUUCAGGUUGACUUUGAUCUGGUCACUGGUGUGCCGGUCUCCUCCGUCUGCCGUACCGUGAGAGUAAGGAAAAUAGCUGUCGUUUAACUAGCACGAGACCGAAGCAGACAGGAAUACAAGACAUGCAUGAGCUAGUUUUCACAGAUCAAACCAAAGCUUGGUACAGAAUUAUGAACGGAAACAAAUCCUCUGCAGUGGUUACACCUACAGUUGAAUCACUCACACGUGAGUUCGGACCCAGUGCCUCAGCUACAAGAGCAGUACUACAGAAAAGCCUCGUCGUCGAGCAUACCAUUUCAACAUCUGAACGCCAGAUACGGUCAUGCCAGCGCACGACACCAUGGAAUCUGAUUCUAAUCUGGUCCAGUGGUUUUCACACACGAGUCUCCAUUCUAUCGUUUGCUUAAUCCCCCUUGACAUUAUCAUAUAUUACUAGGAACAUGUUGGAAAAAUGGCCCACGGAGAGACCCAUUUAAUAAAUUCUGAAGCAAGAGUGCAGUGGCAUUCAAUAGUCUCGUACUGCUAGUUUGAGUUGGUGGAAACCAACUUAAUUAGGAGAGCUCUCUUACUUCUCUGAAUACGUAAUUAAAAGAGAGAAUGGGGCUUGGGUUACACAAUGCACGCGUGCGCGUAUUCGCGUUCUUUUCGCAUAACUUGCGUGACUUGUGACUUGCGACACAAUGAGUAGUCCAGCCAAGUUGGUGUAAUUAACCUUUUGCCAUUUGCGUGUAAUCUUUUGACAACGGUCAUUAUGGGUGAUCUCACCGGCUCUUCUCCUUGGCGUGCACCAGAGGAGGGUGAGCGGUAUCUCCGAGCUGUUGCCGUCGGGAAACAUGCAUGAGGGGCGUCAAUAAGGUUUCCGGGCAGCGCAACUGCGCAACCGCUCGAAUCGAUCCACUACGUUCUGCGCUGCCUCAUCGACGAUCUGCAUUGCACCGAGUAAUCCUGCAUUCGAGUCUACACAAGGACGGAGCACUGAUUUGUAAGUCCAUAGAUUGGAUCUAUUACAGUUAUGGGUUACAUCAUGUGCAGGAAGGUUUCAUGCCUACUAGUCAUGGGUGACAUGAUAUUAUAUAUGGUUAUGUCUGCUUUGCUUAUGCUGCUUUUACACACCGUUUACAUGAGUAUGUUGCGGGUUACGUCUAUCUAUUUAAAACUUACACACCGUUUACAUGAGUAUGUUGCGGGUUACGUCUAUCUAUUUAAAAUUAGAAUUGGGUUACAUAGCAGUAGCACUAGGUUACACUACGGGAAACUUUAAAUUUGCCGAGUGUUUUCUUUUUGCCGAGUGCCAAGCCAAAAACACUCGGCAAACAAGCUCUUCGCCGAGUGCCAAGCCAAAAACACUCGGCAAAAAAAAACACUCGGCAAAUCGUGGCUUUGCCGAGUGUCAAAUAAAAAACACUCGGCAAAGCCCCCUCUUUCCCGAGUGUCAAAAAAAACACUCGGCAAAGAGGGGGUUUGCCGAGUGUCAAAAAAAACACUCGGCAAAGAGGGGGGUUUGCCUAGUGUUUUUUUUGACACUCGGCAAAAAAAUAAUUUUUUUUUCUCUUUUCACCAUGAAAUUUUUUCUACUCCCCACAUACAACAUGUGGUACUCCAUGUUAAAAUUUGGUAUAUUUUUGAAUUUAUUUGCUAUAUUUAAUUAAUUAAUUGCAUUUCAAGGGAAUUUUUGGUAUAAGUCAAAUUUGAACUGCAAGUGAUUCAAAUUAUGGAAUAAAAUGAGUAGAAAAAUGAUAUUCAUGUUAUUUGGAUCAAUUUGAGACCUGACCCAUGAAAUGAAAAGAAAUUUCGAACAUCUUGUUCAGGAAACACGAUCAUGAACGUGUCGCAGUAGUAUUUUUAAAUUGUAAAAAAACAAUCAAAGUCUGAAAAUCUUAAGAUUUGUCAUGAUGUGAUGAUAUAAUACGUGGAGGCUGUGGAAAAAAAUUGAGAAGGUUUUGCACAUUUCAUCAUGUACGAUGAUUACAAACCGAAGCAUCUCAGAAAAAGAAUAGUAACUUUAAGAAGGAUUCGAUAAAAUUUAGAGUCGAAGUGACGGUCGAGUUCGGUUUGACUACAAAACUUUUUGUAUAGUCAGUAGAAAACCUAUAUUGGUUCGUGUGAAAAUUUGGUAUUUUUUGAAACUGUUGGAUAUUUUUUAAAUUUUUUUCAAAAAACGUUUGCCGAGUGUCCUACGUUGGACACUCGGCAAAGAAACUCUUUACCGAGUGUCCACGUAGGACACUCGGCAAACCAGCCGCCCGGCCCCUCAAUAAGUGCCUCCCGGCCCCCUGGCCUCUCACUCCCCUCACUCCCGGCCGGCCCCCCUCUCACUCCCCUCACUCCCUCUCCUCUCUCCCUCCUCUCUCCCUCCCGCCGCCGCCCGAAGGCCCCCGCCGCCGCCCGGCGGCCCCGGCCCCGCCGCCCGCCGCCCGCCGCCCCGCGCUCCCGGAUCGCCGCCGCCGCCCGCCGGAUCCGCUGCCGCCCGCCGCCCCGGCCCCCGGAUCCGCCGCCGCUGCCCCGGCCCCCGGAUCCGCCCGCCGCCCCGGCCCCCGGAUCUGCCGCCGCCGGCCCCCGGAUCCGCCCGCCGCCCCGGCCCCCGGAUCCGCCGCCCGCCCGUCCCCUCCACCGGAUCCGCCGGUGCCGGGGCCUGAAGAGAAGAGGAGAGGAUGGUGGCGGCGGCGGCAGCGGAGCAGUGGCGGUGCGUGAUUUUUCUUUUAUUUUUUCAAUAAUUAUUCGCCGAGUGUUUUCUGGGCACUCGGCAAAGUCUUUGCCGAGUGCCCGACACAAAACACUCGGCGAACUAGUGUUUGCCGACUCGAUAUUUGUCGUGUGCCGUUUGCCGAGUGUUACACUCGGCAAACGGUUCGCCGAGGGUAUUCUACCCUUCGCCGAGUGCCCCUGGCACUCGGCAAUUUGCCUGUGUCCCGUAGUGUUACGUAAUUUGCCUCAUGUUUAUAUUCGGUAGAUUCAAACGCACAUGUUCAACACAAGAUUCAUGGAGUGAUGAUGGAAGCAUAACACGGUGGUCCCCACCAUCGCAGCCAUGGCACUGUGCUGGCGGAUCACCAGGAGACUUCGCCCCCCGCGCGGCGCUAUGAUUCCGGCUGCCGCCUCCCAUCGGCUGCCGGGGCGGCGCACCACGAGGAGCGCCGCCGCCUCUCCUUGCAGCCCGCAGCUGCUCGGCCGCCGAAGCCACGCCGCCGGCCGCCUCCUGGGGCACAACCGCGCGCGCGCCACCACUGGAUGGGAGCAGAGCGUAGCAUGCAGCACGCGGGGAGGGAAUCUUGCUAGCUGGAAGAUACUCCUUGUAUGUUCAGACACAUGGAGAAUCUUUUGAUCAGGUCACUUUGAGGGUGUUUGGAUCUUUAGUUCUAACUAAAAUAUAUGGCACAUCGAAUAUUCGAAGAUUAAUUAGGAGAACUAAAUAUGAUUUAAUUAUAAAACUAACUAUACAGAUGGAGGCUAAUUCACAAUACGAAUCUAUUAAGCCUAAUUAAUCCAUCAUUAGCACAUAUUUACUGUAGCAUCACAUUGUCAAAUCAUGGACUAAUUAGGUUUAAUAGAUUCAUCUCACAAAUUAGUCUCCAUCUGUAAAAUUGGUUUUGUAAUUAGCCUAUAUUUAAUACUCCUAAUUAGUAUCUAAACAUUCGAUGUGAUAGGAAUUUUAGGAGGUGCUAAAGAAACAAACACCCCUCGUGCAUGUCCUACUCGUACUUGGUUUUGUAUGUGUGUUGAUUCAGGGGGUGUUCGGAUCCCCAGGCUAAAUUUUAGCCCCUAUCACAUCGAAUGUUUGGACAUUAAUUAGGCCUAUUAAACAUAGGCUAAUUACAAAACCAAUUUCACAACCCCUAGGCUAAAUCACGAGACAAAUCUAUUAAGCCUAAUUAGUCCAUGAUUUGACAAUAUGGUGCUACAGUAAACAUUCGCUAAUGAUGGAUUAAUUAGGCUUAAUAGAUUCGUCUCGCGAUUUAGCCUAGACGUUAUGCAGUUAGUUUUGUAAUUAGUUCAUGCUUAAUCCUUCUAAUUAGCAUCUGAAUAUUUGAUGUGAUAUGAACUAAACUUUAACUCCACCCAAACACCCCGUCGUCCGUGCACUGCUUCGAGCUUCGUACAUUGCAUGUCCUACUCGUACGUCUGCAUUGCCAACGUACUGCCCUAAUUAAGCAAUGCAGAGGCGACGUUGAAAAGUACUACCAUCACCAUUGAAAAGAGGCGAUGUGGUAGUCUAUGUGAAAUAAAUUUGAAUAUUCUUUGCAAACAUGAGAAAGUUGAAGCUCAUCACUUACACAAUAUCAUUUAAAAAGCAUGAGCGACAAUAUGCAUUUAAAAAUCAUACUUGACUUGUUUUCAGUCACAUACAAAAUAUCAAGUCAUCUAAUCAAAUCAAACAUGUUCCAAAUUAAGGCUGAAGAGUUCGUCAGGAAGAAUAGUCUUUAUUACUGCAUUGGAAGCAUGGACAACAUAUAAAUCCCUUUUUCUAGCAGGUUGGCUUUGGCCACUUCGAGAAAAUAAUUCAACCCAUCAACGAACUCCUCCGCCCGUCUGUCCGUGUUGUACAUCCAUUGCCAGUCCAUCUACAUCAUAUUACCGGAAAAAUGGACAUAGCGCUUCGUAUUAGAUAAAGAACUUGAUCAAUAUUAUGUAGGGAAAAAAUAGAGUAAAUGUGUUUAUAAUAUUUAAUCCUUGCACUAAACAUGAAAGAAAUAUAAUUACUGAUAAUUUCCACCAAUCAACCUUCAUAAUAUAAAAACAAUUCACAUGGAACUUACACCAGUCAACCUUCGUAUCAUUCACUAGGUCGACAAAAACAAAAAUGCUAGAAUUCUUGACAAGACAAUAAAAAUAUAUACACACUAAAGAUUACAGAUGCUCCAUAAUGAACUUCACGGAACCAAGAAUCCUAAACCAAUGGUAGAAUGGAGCAAAAUGUUCGUCCUCCAAGCUAUCUCUACACAUAACUCAAUCUUUUCCGAAGUCUAUGGAGAGUCACCUCCGCUCCUCCAGUACUAGAAAAUAAUGGUAGAAAAGAAGAUCUUCGAGUCUACAUACUUUGGCUGAAUAUCAUAAAGGAAUUUUGAAAUAAUUGUCCAAAUGUUUUUUUGGAGCAAGUGCCACAUUUUCAUAAUAGAAGUAUGGUGGCACACAAUAGCCUGUCUAGGUAAAAGAUCUGUUCACUGAGCAUGGCCUAUUUUGGCAAGCCAAAACCAACCAAAAGCCGAUGGGUCAAGGUUAGAGAACAAAUCUCUGCCUGAACAGGCUAUUGUGCCACCAUACUUAUAUUAUGAGAAUAUAGCUUCAAAAGCCAUUUGGAAAACUAUUUCAAAAUUCUUUUAUUGUAUUCAGCCAGAGUUUGUGGACUCGAAGUUCUUCUGCUCUAAUUAUUUUUGAAUUAUUGACUUCUUGAAGUCCAAUAUGGAGCGUAUGUAGUCUUUAGUGUAUCUUUAUUUUCCUAUUCCACAAUUCUAGCAUUAAGUUGACUGGCGUGUGGGUUCAUGUCACUCUAAUUUAACAUGCAAACUAUUUAUUUACCUACUUUUAUUGUAAGGACUAAAUAUUAAAAACACAUUUACUAUAUUUUUUCCCAUACCUAAUAUUGAUCAAGUUCUCUAUCUAAUAUGAAUCAUAUAUAACAAGCAAGCUAUCUAUCCAUCAAAUUCUAGCUCAAAAAUAUAUAUAAAUAAAAAAUCCUCUCCAUUCUCCCUCAUUCUAAAAAACUCAUUUUUCUCCAUCUCUAAAGCAUAAAACAAAGUAUAAUAACAAUAAAUGAAGGGAGGAUAAAAUAUCUAACAUUUACAACACUUUGGAUGAGUGAAAUCCCUAUGAAAAUAAGGGAAAAAAAUCGGGCAGUACCUCCCUAAGCUUGCUUGCUCGCCAUGGAGAAAGAGCCCGAGCUCUCGGUCCGAUGAGUGGCUCGGGCUCAGGGAGGAAGAAGGGGAUUUUUAUAGGGUGCGCGUUUAGUUCCGGUUGAAAAAACCAACCGGAUGACUAAAGACCUCUCAUUUAGUCCCGUUGGUGUUACCAACCGGGAUUAAUCAUUUAGUCCUAGUUGGUUUUUCCAACCGGGACUAAAUGCCCCACCGGAUUCCCUUGUCCAUCCUAGCCGUUACAAACAGGACUAAAGGGGGAGCUUUAGUCCCAAUUCAUAUUAGUAACCGGGACUAAAGCUCCCAUCGGAUGUAGCUGUCGGUGGUGGUUGUUUGACUUGGGACUAAAGGUACUUUAGUAGUUCCAGGUUCAAAAACAACUGAGAUAUUUGUUUCUGGAUGGAGAGUCGUUUCUCUACCGGUGUUAGCUGUGCUUCCCACUCCCGCCACAGUUGCCUUCCUUCGGCUUCCUCUUGGCAGGGUCCCCCUUUAGAGUAGGAGCACCUCUUCGCGCCGCCCGCAGCUCCGCCGCCGCAACCACUCCCGCAGCACAGUGGUCGCACAGCAGCGGCGCCGUUGUGGACGUGGUGAGACCUCCUGCUUCUUCAUGCGGCGAGCGGUCGCGGCGGCUUUCGGCUGCCGGCGAGCAGAAGGCGACGGGUGGUAGAGCGCACCCACGAUGCGGGAGGACGCGGCGUAUCGCCGGAGUUGGAGCGGGAGGCACCUAAGUGUAGACGCCGCCGUCAUGGCUACCAUGGCGUGCUUGUGCUUGCCGACUUUUUUAUUUUUUAGCCCUUUUUGCGAAAGAUUCUCACAAAUAGGCUCCUGGCGGAACCAAUUCCAAAAAUAGACCCUUAGCUUGGAACUUAGGUCUCCAGGAUAAUAAGCCCACCUCCUAACCAGUUGAACCACAGCUUAGUUUGUUGCACACUCCUUGGAAUAAUUAUACUUGUUUAGUUCGAAACACGAAGAGGUACGGGGUAGAUAGCUCGGCGCCAAAAUCCACGGCGCCAAGGCUUGGCGCCAUGAUGGAUGGUGCCAAGCCCCCGCCACAUCGGCACCCGCGUCAGCAGCUGCGCAUGGACCUUGGCGCCAGGAUGGCUGGCGCCGAGACGUUGUAGCUUGGCGCCAGCGUGGAUGGCGCUAAGCUAAGGGUCCAUUUUUGAAAUUGGUUACACCAUGGAUCUAUUUGUGAGAAUCUUUCGCAAAAAGGUUAAAAAACAAAAAAGUCAGCUUGUGCUUGGAUGAUGGAUUAUUGCUUGUGCUGCUAGCUGAUGCCUGGGAUCGGAUGGAUCGAUGCAAAUGAGCUGCCGAUGUCUCGCUUAUUUACAGCCAUCGUUACGAGCUGCGGUCGCGUCACGAUCUCGAGAGGAUCGGAACAGGUCGCGCUUGACUUCGAAUACUGACACACGAGCGUUCAGACACUGAGGAAAAUGGUAGUGCUAAGUCAAGUCAAGCCUGUGUGCGUGUCUCAGCUCACACAGUUCUCAAAACGACGAAAUCACAGGCUGGAUUUUGAUCGGGUCACCGACGGGAAUUGAGAUUCGCUCCUGACAGUCAUGUCGAUCACAAUCGAUCACUGUAUAUCGUGUUCGUUGAGCCAGUCACUGUCAGCAUCCGAUCGAGCUCCAUAGUAUAGUAGUACUAGCUGGAAGUAUUUUUCUGCUGCUAGAUUCGUUUAAAUUUCUCACGACCAAGACACACUCGCACAAAUAGUUGUGUAGUUCAAAGUCAUGGUUCUGCCUGCCUCACCGUACCAGUUGUGCCAGUUGCCUACCAGGUAAUAUUUUGAUUGGGUCCCGGUGAGAGCCGUCAGUGUUUCUAUUUCUACACACUGCAGCAUGAUGCGAUGCCUAGAGAACGAUUCCUGGGAUCGAUUCAUGCAGUGUGCUAGCUCUCAUAGAGAUGUCAGACUUAUUAGGUCACCAGCAGAACAAAUUCACCGUUUUUAGACUGCUUGGUCAUACGGAAAAAAUAUAUGAUUUCUUACUCUAACUUUGAUAAUAUUUCUUUUGUGUAUAACAAAAAAAUUGCAAGCUAUAGUUGGUACAUUUAAGACAUACUAGUUAUCUACUCCCUCUGUCCCAAAUUACUAUUUGUUUUAGCUUUUCUAGGCAUAUAGCUUUUGCUAUAUAUCUAGACAUACUAUAUAUCUAGAUGGAUAGCAAAGUAUACGUAUCUAGAAAAGUUAAAAUAAAUAGUAAUUUAGGACGGAGGGAGUAGUUUCUAAUAACCCUUCUCCAUCUCUGUACCUUUGUUUCUAUACACUGCACCAUUUGAAUGUGAUGCGAGGAGAAAUAUUCCUAGCGACGAUCCAUGCACAGUGGCUUUGGCGCUAGCUUUACAAAAGCAAGGUAUAUGUGGUCCACACGCAAGUGAAAUAUAUAAUAUAUUUAAGAAAUAACAUAAGAACUGAUAUAUGCACAAUUCAACAGAUGCUACAUGUCAUUAUAUAAGCUCAUCAUCUAUAAGAGCUGAUGAAGGAAGAAAAGGGUAGAAGGAAAAAAGAAAAAAAAAGAAGGAAGGAACGGAAAAGAAUAGGCUGCGUAAAAAGAAAGAACGGAACCGGAUAAUACUAGAAGAAAGAGAUGUAUGUAUUAAAAAAGAAAAGAGGUAACAGGUGUGGAUUAAUCUAUAAUAAUUUUAUUUAUUUAUUUUUGUUGCAUGUGAAAUCAUGUUAUAAAGGGAAAUACAAACUUGAGUCAAAAAGGGGAGAUCCGGGUAUAAUGGAUAAUAAGAAAGAAAGGAUGAGAAAUAAAGAAAGAGAAAAUAGAAUGGGAAGGGAAAAUAAAAAAGAAAACAAAAAAGAGAGAGAAAAGAGAAGGUAUUAUGAUCAUUUCAUAUUUUUAUCCAUUUUAACCAACUCAAAGAAGAUAUUUUAUCAAACGUUUUUCGAACCAAUAAGUCAGAGCAUUUUAGGCACAGCCACCGCCCUACCAAACGAACCCUAAGGAAACUACUAUUAAUGAACAACAGUUUAGAUCAUCAAAAGUUGCCAACGCGCAACAGCAGACGGUUAGCUCCUCAUUACUUCGUUUUCUACUUUUCUUGUACUCCUCAGCUCCAAUAGGAUUUCGUUGCAGGUGCAGCAGCCGGAACGGCAUGGAUCUUUCCACCACCGCCGCCGGUGCCUUCCGCCGGCAUUUUAUCAGACAGCGUUGGUCCUCCCGCUGUCAUGAGCGCCGCCCACGGUGCGCCAUGAACUUUUCCGCCACUGCCACCAGUGCCUUCCGCCGGCGGUUGGCCAGGCGGCGUCGGUCCUCCCACUGCCAUGAUCGCCGCAUUCGGUGCGGCAUGAACUUUCCCGCCGCCGCCACCGGUGCCUUCCGCAGGCAGCUGAUAAGGCAUCGUUGGUCCUCCCACUGCCAUGAGCACCGCCCUUGGUGUCGCAUGAACUCCACCGCCACCGCUGCCUUGCGCCGGCGGCUGGCCAGGCCGCGCUGGUCCUCCCACUGCCACGGAGACCGGAGAGCGCUGGUGUGUGCCACCCAGGCGGCCCAUGCGGGGCGACGGCACCUGCAGCAGGAGCUGGCCCGAGAGGGAAGGCGAGGUAGACGGCGACGCCAUGGCCGUGGCUGAAAAGGGCUGGCUCUCAAACCGAUAGAAGUGUCGAACUAGUUAAGCUUGAUUCACUCAAUCAAGAUUAUUGGGUGAUUUCUUGAUCUCUUUCAGUUAGUUACUGAGAUCUCAGUGAUCGGUCGAUAUCAAGCACUGGAUAUCUCGUGCUUGAUGGGUCUUUGGAGUUAUGCUGUGAGCUGAUGAUCGAGCUCUACUUAUAACCAAUCCAAGAGGAGGCUGGGGAGCACACGUACGCACGCAGUUGUAUAGGCGGAGUUUAACUUUGACCUCGCUCACAGCUGGCCGUGUUUUAGACUUUAGAGCACGUAGAAAUUGUAUCUAUUUUGGUUGCAUACUACCAGGUCAAGUCAAAGCUUCUGCACGCGUGUGUUUCGUUCAAAACUAGAGGCUAGCGUUGAACAACAGAGGGUGCAUACUUUUUUUUUCUCAGUUUGUGGCAGAUCCGAGCCCGGGCAGAGAAGGUGCUGCAAACCGGGUCUUGGCCCGCAAAACUCUAACAUUCUGAUCCGGUCAUGCCUGUACAUAUGUCAUUGCACCGUGACGAGAGUGCCUAGUGUUGAAUAAUUCCACAUGAAUUGCGAAAGCUUAAGUGACCUAAUAGUUUGAAAAUGUUGGAGCUCUCAAGGAGCUAGUCUUCGGAGUUCGGUUAGAAAUCAAUUUACUAUUUUACUAUAUAAAAUAUCAGUAUGCUACUUCCUUCAUUUCAAAUUAUGGAUCGUUUAGACUUUACUAAAUUUAUAGAUUUUACUAUGAAUUUAAACAUAUAAUAUAUCUAAGUGCAUAGUAAAAAUUUGAAUUCAGAAAAACUAAAACAACCAGUAAUAAUUUGGGACGAACUCACGAAGGGAGUACGGCAUAAGUAGCUUUGUGAACCCUUGCAGUUUGCAGCUAAUACAUGUUUAACUAAUGUCCAUACAUACUGAUGUAGCUUGAGGACUAGUAUUCAGACUCUUCGUAGACGUCCAAGCGUAAGGAAUCGGUGCUCGUAGCUUAAGAAGGGAAGGGGGUGAAUUAGGCAAAUUUAAAACCUUAACCUAUGGCUUCCACUACAAAGCAUCAAACAUAAACUAGAUCAUACUAUCUAGCUGUGCAACUAUGGUUGAUCUAGUGAAACUUCCCACCCAUAAAAAGUUUUGCAACCUAUCCUAGCAAGAACUACUCUAUGGAAGUAAAGGCACACAAGUUGCAAAUAGGAAAUACGGAAAUGUAAAGGAGUGGGUUAGGAAGGAUGCAAACUCGGCACGACGAUUUUAUCCCAUGGUAUCGGUAGGCAAAUGCCACCCCUAAUCCACGUUGGAGCUCCACCAUGCUCCCUGUCACCAAGUCUCUCCUGGUCAAGAUCUUGGGCUCGCCACAAAGACUCUCGCCAAGCCGGAUGAGAAGCUUGCUGCGAAGGCAAGGCUCACCACUCCCUCUCUUCCGAUCACCUUGACGUCGUCUCCACUACGGAGCUUCUCCACGAAGGAAGGGGUCUCCUCUUCCACACCAAACUGGAGGGUCGAAGACUUGCCGGCGAGCCACCGAGGCCCAAGGCGCCGGCACACCAAACUUACAAUGGUGGUUCACUCCUUGAACCAAUCACAAAGUAGCCGCACCUUGCACUCACUCUCUCUACGUCUAUCCUAGCACUAAUCACUCUCUAAGCAUGUGCUAAUCCUUGAAUUGUCACUUUUGCACUUUUAGUUGUGUGGAUGUGUUCUUGAUAGGUCUUGGUCUUGAAUGCACUCCUAGACACUCCAGCAACUCUAAAUGAGCGAGUGGUGGGGGUAUAAAUAGCUCAAGGACCUCAAAGAGUCAUUGCUCCAACGGCUAGUAAAAACACGGAGCAUUGGAUGAUCCGAUGGUCACUUUUGAUAGGCAUCGAGUCAUCUGGUGCCCCUUGACGCAACUAGCCGUUGGACCCCCUGCCCAAAUUCAUCCGACACAUUGUCCGAUGCUUCAACAUCCGGUGGUAAAGAGCUUCUGGCCAAAACCUCUUGGAACUUUGAAAAGAAAAUAUGCUUCGUCCGAUGGUCACAUCCACAAGGCAUCGGAACAUCCGGUGCUAUAAGUUUUUUUUUCUUUGAGAAUUGCUCCGACGCUACUAAAAUAUCCACCAUCAAAUCAUCCGGUGGUCUUGACUCAGAUAGUUGCCUGCGGGUUGUACCAAUUGCUCCGAUGGUUGCUUCGACGCUUGCUCCAGUAGACCAUCGGAACAUCCGGUAGUACUGAUUUUUCUGAGUUGAAUACCACCAUUUGCACAAAAAAAAAUACCGUGACUUGGAUGCUCUGGAAUUUGGACACUUGAAUACCAUAUAAUAAUCCUAGAUAUAUACCAUGGCUUGGUCAUUUCAAUACUACCAAUUGGAUACGGAGAAUACUGUCAUUUGGAUCACUUGAAUACCAUAAUUUUGAACCUUGCCAUGGUUUAGUUUGCAUACUUGGAACCUAGAAAAUCUAUAAGAUACAUGAUAGACAAAGUAUUAGUCCCAAUGACUAUGUUGUCACUCAAUCACCAAAAUUACGAACAAUGGCAUAAUGAGACCAUGUUCCCUGCACCAAGUCCAAUCAUGCACACGGAAAUCGACACCUAAAUUAAGUUGUCGUCAAAAGUCAUCGGGGCAACUACUCCGAGAUGUGACAGAAACCCUAUGACGUAUAUCUGUUAUAUUCAAUCAUAUAUAUGAUGGAAUAGUACGAUUUUUUAUUUUGGGAAACAAAAUGACAAAAAGCAUCUUUACUACAUACUAAGUCAACGAGUCAACUUGCAGUGAUGUAGAUACCAAUGUUUCUCCUUUUUUCGUGCUAGCGAAAUUAAAUGACAUGAUUUUUAUGUAGUAUUUUAUAAGUUAUGUUGCCAAUAUAUAGACAUUAAAAAAAGAGCCACGUUAAAUCUCUACCUAAUCGGUUGUUUCUUCCGACCGUCGUGGUUGUUUUGCAAAAAAGUUCCUCAAACUUUUUUAAUCAACCCGCGGUCCUUAGAAUAUGUCUUGAUAAUUUUGCAAAAAGGUUCCCAAACUUUACUGCAAUUAUGGAUGUGGAGCCGCCGGCGCCGGCCGGCCUUGAUGCCAAGGUUGAGGCCACCCGCACCGGGGUCGAGCCGCCCGCGCCGGCCGACCUCCCUUGGGUUGUGCCGUUUGUUGCCGUCGUGGAGCUAGAACCGGUCGGCCACCCGCGCCGCUGGUGGCCACACCAGCCGCCUCCGCCGUCGGGGCCGGGGCUGGGGUGGCCGCCAGCGUCGGACCGAGGUGGCCGCGCUGGCCGCCAGGGCUCCUCCGCGGGGGCGCGCCAGAGAGGUGGGAGAGAAGAGAGAGAGAGGAGAUAGGGCCAGGAGAGAGAGGAGAGGUGGGAGAGAAGAGAGAGAGGGAGGAGAUAAGGUUGGCUAGUUGAGAGGGAAGGGUGGAAGGAGAGUUUGGCCAACAGAAACGCUCGAUUUCAGAGUUGUGGAUCGAUGACAUGGCAAAUAUGUUUCUUCUCUAAACUUAUAACAUAUUUUUGGACUACUAAACGAUGUCGAAUGAAAAAAUUGUCAACUACAAAGUUUAAAAUCUCAUCGAGCUGUACAAUUUUGAUAUAAAGUUUGUUUCAUCCAAUCGUAUGCAAAAGUUUGUAUUAAAAAAAUACAGCCUUUAAACUUAAUCAUUCACAUCCUUAGCUUUGUUUCUAUUUACGGAGCCCAACAACGGUUGCGCCGUAAUCGUCGUCAUACAUCUUGACACCGCUCCCAUCGUAGGUCGCCUUCUACCGCGGCAAUGGGACUCCGAAUGGCGGUACGCGACUCAGAGCUGUGCUCGCCCCCGCUUCCGUUGGAAUGCACGAGUUCCACGUGUGGGUGUGUAUGUCACCCACCAGCACAUAUUUGUGCCCGCCAGUGCAAAUGGCGUAAUUAUGACGCGGGAAACGAAAAUUCGCAUCAGUGAGCCGAAGUGAAACGCACUCCCUCUCUCCUUUCUAUCUGCAUGCUCUCAGUCUCUCCUAUCCCCACAUCUCUUUCCUCUCUCUCUCUCCUAUCCCUUUCAUUCCUCCCGUUCAUGGCGGUGGAAUCGGACGCGAAGCUGCGGCUGAUUCGAGCAGCAACCGGCGCGGGUGGCUGGAGCCACAGCUAGCAGAGGUAGGGCCAGCGUGGGCUGAAGGAACAGUGGCCAUCGCGAACCAGCAGCGGCCGGUGCAGGCGCGCGGGCCAGCGGCACCAUGCGAUGGCGAGCAGCGGCCGGUGCAGGCGCGCGGGCCACGGUGACAGCGAGCAGCGGCCUGUGCGGGCAACAGCAAGCUGCGGCCGGAGGCCACGCACAUGGAGUUGUGGGCACCUGGGUGGCACGAGGGCCUGCAACGGUCAAGCAAACUGCGUCAGGCCAUGAACGCUCUCCUCUCCUCUCUCUCUCUCUCGCUCUCUCUCUCUCUCUCUCUCUCGCUUGUCUCUGUGCUCCGGCCGACCUAAGCAGCGGUGAGCAGCGCCAGCUGGUAGGGGAGCGGCUACCAUCGCGGGGGAGCGGCAAGCAUCAGCUGAGCAACGAAGGAGCAGUUGUCGGUGCGCGCGAUGGCGAGCAGUGGGCAACCGACGGAGGAGCAGUUGCCGAUGCCAGUCAAGCAGAGCUUGCCGUGCACAGCUGCUUUUUUUUGUUUUCCUAAAAAUAUCUUUGCUGGUGGGCGGCAUAAGCACCCCCUAGCAAAAAUACCAUAUGUACUGGCGGGUGGCUUAAGAGGCCCGCCAGCAUAGAACCGUCUAUGCUGGCGGAUCCGCCAGCGUAAAUAGCCAUUUUUGCUGGCUUAAGAUUGUUGAGGGGUGCGGUACCCGUAAGCACAGUUUUCGUGGCGUAGUGCUGGCAUGGUCCAGCAUGAUGUACUAACCGUGUCGUGCCUAUAGCGUGUGCCUGUGUCGAGCCGUCUGUUUGGACUUUGGACAUCUAUAGUAGUGGGGCCGUGGAUGCUUGUGCGCUCAUGGUUGUUGACCAUGGUUGCUGUAUCAGAUUGCCGGACUGCCCCCUUGGAGGAAGCCAUCUGUAGCUGGGACAUCGCCCUGUCCAUCCCUGGGGCCCGGGCCACAAUGGUAGAUGCAGACGCAAGGGGUUCUGGUCGUCUUGCCCUACUUCUUUGCACUACUAUAGAAGUGUUCGUCACAUCCGGCUCUACAACCCCCAUCACAGCCAGUUUUGAAUUCGUCGGAUAAAGGUCAGCAGUGAUGGGGUGCUCCAUCACCGUCAGAUCUAAAACCGGCUGUGAUACCAAUAAAAAAAUUAAAAAUCCCCAGCGAGGACACGACCCGCAAGCCAUGCCUCCCCGUGAGGCUGCGACCUGCAGCCAGCCAUUGCCGCUAAAACCUGCAGCCCGCCGCUGCUCCCGCCGCCAUAGUCAUGGCCCGCAGUCCGCCGCCGUCGUUGCAGCUGGCUGCUCACUGCCGCACCCGCCAUGGCCCGUAGCUCACGCUCGCGCUUGGCGCCGCAGCAUCCCGCGCCAGCGCCUGGGACCUCCAGCCGAGCUCCGGCUGUCGCGCUCAUGGAGCUCCGACUUCUGGAGGCCCGCCUUGCGCCCCACAACAGCGCUGCGCCAGGGAGGAGAGGAGGGGAGAGGAGGGAAGGGGAGGGGUGGUGCGGUGUGGUGGGGAAGGGAGAGGCUCGCCACAAGGGGAGGGGCGGCACAAUGUGGAGGGAGAGGGUCGACGUGGUGGGGGAGGGAGAGCUGGAGAGGAGAGGGAAUGAGCCGGAGAGGAUAAGGCCCGUGGGGUUGGGGAGGGGGAGUUGUAUAAUUCAACCGAGGUGUAUAAAAAUUUCAGGUUCGACAUCACCGUCGGUUUGUAUUAGGAACCGACGGUAAUGGUUGUCACCACCGGCUUGUACAUACCGGCGGUGAUAGGAUAUUAUCACUGUUGGUUUUAGUUUUCACCGCCGGUUGAUGUAAAAAUCCGGCGGUGAUGACUUAUCACUGCCAGCUCGUCGAGAACCGGCGGUGAUGGACCGAUGGUGAUAGCAUUUUCUCUAGUAUUGUUAGGUUCUAGAGGUGUACCAGUGGAGGGAGCCACGGAGAGGGGUGGGAGAGCAUGCUUAAGCACGAUGGCAUGCAUUCUGUGAGGUGGAGCACGAGGGAGAGUAGUGAAGAUAGCAAUGUUGUUGAAGUAUAUGUGAAUUUCCUACCUUUCCCAUCAGAUAAAGUUCUUGGUUAUUGAACUGGUUCGUGCAUACAUCUUCAAGUAGUAUUAGAGCCAAAGGUCUCGAGUUUGAGUCCUGAUGGGCUUAGAGCGUAUUUGGUUCGUGACUAAAACAAGCGGACAGCUUGCCGCAGCUAACAUGCGCCUGUGUUUGAUUCUGGACAAAGACGCGGCAUGUCAUAGAAAGUCUGGCACCUCUCUUGUGCUUCUCCGUUGCAUUACUCACUAAAUGUCUGGCGCAUGAAUCGUCAGGCGUGCCGAACAUGCGGUGUGGCCUGUUGUGGACCGUGUCCAAACAGAGCCUAAAUUAAUUUUGCUCUUGGGUUGAACUUGGUUGUGCAUGGAAAUCAAUUGACGGUGCCGUAACUGCCAUGGCCCAUUAUCAAUUGAGCUUCUUUUCUCUCAACCUUCCGCCAGCCAUUGGUUUUUCUCCUAGGCUGGAAGUGAUAGUAGAUGAAGUGAGAUGAACCCUAGAUGACAAGUGACCAGCAAUAAAAAGAAAAUGAGGAUCCAAUUUUAUGCUGUUUAAUUUUCUUGGAUCAACCAUUAUUCCUGCAGUGCAUGCAUCUAAUCUGAGAUGAAGCUGGUGAUCAUUAAUAUUAUUUCUUUUCACUACGUCAGAAACGAUUUGUACUGGCAUGUCAAAAUUAGGUCGCCCGCCAGCAUAAAGGUGACGGGGCCGCCAGGCGAGCGCCCGCCAGCAUAGAUGGAAUGCAUCUGUACUGGCGGGUGCAUUAGGUGGCCCGCCAGCACAGAUGCCGCCCACAUAAGACCGCAGACAGCUUCACCCCCAACCAACCUUCCAUUCGGAGCUAACCUAGUGUUUGGUCACCAGCAGUCGGGUAGGGUUUUGUGCAACAGACCAGAGUAUAGUUUGUAUGAUUCCAACUUCCAAGCUUCCGUUCCAAUGUCCUUUGCAACAUAUACAAUUCGGUGUAGACUAGAGUGGUAUAUUUUGUUUAUUUCCACCUAACUCUGCCUAACUUACACAAUCACACAAACACAAUAUAUAUAAUGACACAUAUUGACCAGGGUAACCUAGUGAUCACGUCUAGGAUACUAAGUUAGUGUUACUAAAUCCACCAUGAAAUAUGUCUUUAUAAUAUAUUUAUUUGUAGAUGGCUAGAUGCCAAUAUAUAUUUCUACGGACUUGAUCGAACACUACUGGAAAAUGUGGCAUUAGUCCUGGUUGGAUAGGAUCAUAGAUCCCGAAAAUCCAAUCGGGACCAAAUUUUCGAGAUAAAAGGGGGCUCUUUAGUCCUGAGCCCGGGACUAAAGACCCCUUUAAUCCUGGUUGGGUAAAACCAACCGGGACUAAAAAGGUUAAAGAAAAUAAAAAAAUUGGGCCACCCACGCUGGCCAGCCGCCCGCCCGUGCCCGCCUCCACCGCCGCCACCCAUCUCGGCUCCGCCUCCGCCCACGCCCGCGCUCGCUCGCUCAGCCGCCCUCACCCUGCUGCCGCUCCUCACUACUAGUGAGAGGCGAGCAGAAGGGGGGAAGGGGAGGGGCAGCAGAGGGGGAGGAGGGUUGGCGGCGCAAAGAGGAGAGAGGAGGAGAGGGAGAGAAGAGAGGGAGGGGAGGGGGCAGCGGUGGCGCAGAGAGUAGGAGUGGAGAGUUGAGGAUAAGGAGUGGAGAGGAGUGCUGCACUGGUGGAAGGGUAAGUGUGAGGAGAAAGAUAACAUUGAGAGAGGGGGGGCACGUGGGAAGGGCUCAAAAGAUUUAGUUCCGGUUGGAAUUAUCAACCGGGACAAAAGGGGGAGCUUUUGUCCCGGUUGGAAUUUCCAAUCGGGACAACAAGGGGGCGUCGGUACCAGAUUUUUUUUAGCUGUUACAACCAGGACUAAAGCGGGGCUUUCGUCCCGGUUGAUUUUUAUAACCAGGAGUAAAGCUCCUCCCGUCGGUGCCUCAUUUUUGACCUGGGACUAAAGUGUUUUUAGUCCCGGGUCCAAAGUCAACCGGGACAAAAAUACCUGGAUGGAAGGUCAGUUAUCUAGUAGUGGAAGUUCGAGAAAUUUGACUGAUGAUUACAAAACUAAACUAUAUUUGUGUUUAGGUUGUAUUGCAUCAACUUUUAUAUGGUCGAACAACACGAUGCCAGCGCCAGUCCCUGACAAUCGACUUAUUAGGUUUAAUUCUUUUGCACUCCAUAUCAAUUUCAUAGUUUCGUUAGCUAGUUCCAUUACCUACAUAGUUUCGUUAGGUACCAGUCCAAACUGUGUAAAUUCCACCUCAGCAUGUGGUAGCAGGUUGCUGCGCAUCUACGGGCAGCAGUUUUAUAUGAAAUUAGACCUGAUAAGCAGUUUUAUGUUUGUCACAAUCGUAAGUCGGGGGAAUUGACGUGAGUUGGGGUUCGCUGUAGCGGCACUGAUCUGGAAUUCUGAUAUGCCAUCGAGUUCUUACUUGUUAACAAGGAGAGAUUGGAGCUCACUAACUUGGCACAAUGCAACGUCAACACGAUAGCUUUUGGAACAUGAUUAUCCGAUUUCUGAUGAAAUUGCUACACCAGUUUGAAGUGAAAAAACGCAUGUACAUAACGUAAUAAUUAAUAUAAAGCCAUGAAUUUAUUCUCAUGUAAUAAUUAAUAUAACGUUUCAUACACAUACUCACCACAUCACCCUAAGAACCGAUGCCAGCCUUUGGACUAAGUUCUUGGUUGUUGUAUUUGUAUACCCCUGAAGCGAUGAUCCAUUAUCUUCUCAUGCCCGCGCGCUGCCACACAGCUCACGCCCAUAACCCUGUUAGCCACGCUCACGCUGAAACCUCAUGAUGUUUCCCGCCGACACCGCCGUUGCCUUCGGCUGUACUACUGGGCUUUUCCGGAACAGUCGUCCCACCGAGCACCACGGGCUCUUCGCGGUGGAAACAGCAGCAGCAGAGCCUCCCCAACACGCGAGGCAACCAAGCCAUCUCUCUCUCUCUCUCUCUCUCUCUCUCUCUCUCUCUCUCUCUCUCUCUCUCUCUCUCUCUCUCUCUCUCUCUCUCUCUCUCUCUCUCUCUCUCUCUAAUUUGUGAGAGAGAGAGAGAGAGCAUGGAGAGCUACUUAACAGUGGCUGGAUCGGAUGGCAGGGGAGGCAGCUGCCUAGCUGGCUGUGUAGUUAGUGCAUUGACCUUCACCGGCUAGUAGCUAGUAUUGAGAUAGAACUAUAAAGUUAGCAAGCCUGGUUGCGUGCAUGUGUCCUAGUUCAAAGCUAUUGGCCGAUAGCGUUGGAAUCGCAUUUGAUGAUUUAAACUUCAUGAUCUUUUAUCCACGAUUUUUCUAACAGUAUUUAAGUUUUAUGUUAAAAAUAGCACCACUGUAUUCGUAUUCCAAAGUCAACCUUCUGACCUUCAGCUCCAAAACCGUCUAAUUUCGAUCACAACCUAUCAAGACUUGUUCAACUCACGAAACAAUUCGGUUACAACUGUUAUUUGGCUAACAUGGCGUAGUUUUGGCUCUAGGUUACGUUUUUUUUCCCAAAUUAGACAACGAUGUGCCGCCCUCUCCUUUCUCUAUUUCAUCAAUAGUCCGGCCAGCCCAACAUCCCCAAUCUCCCUCUUCCUUUUUCCUUUCUCCCUCAUCCCUUCAUCCUUCUUCUGUCUGAUAGCUAGUGAGAUACAGAAAAGGAGAGGGUAAUAAAUGGGGCUCCUAUGUAGCUUUCCGUGUGCUAGAUAAGCAACAUGUCUUUAAAGCCUAUUAGACCCAACUUAUAGAUAUGUAAAAAUUCAAAAUUUUGGAAGAUUACAUUCAACAUUUUCUUAGAAAUAGAUCAACAUUUAGAAAUACUACAUUCAAAAUUUUUGGAAAAUGUAUACCAUUUUCAACAUUUUUCACAACCCGUUUCAACAUUUUGAAAAAAUGAAUUCAACAUCUUGAAAGAACAAGUUCAACAUUUUUUCUAAACCUACAUCAAAUUUUUUAAAAAAAACAUGCCCACUGUUUCAUCUUCUCCGGUGACGAUGGGGUCGGCAUCGGUCGUGGCGGGGCCGGCAGCAGCGCAGCAGUGCGGCUGGCAGCAACCGCGGCUGGUGCAUCGGGCCCGGCAGCAGCCGCGGUAGGCGCUGCGGCGGGGCAGCGCUUGCGGCGGAGCUGGCGGGCGCAGCGGUAGAGCGGCAGCAAAUGCAGCGGCGGCGACAUGUGGGAGGUCACGAGGAAGCAAGGGUUGAGGGAGCAUGAGAUGCAUCCAAUGAAUCAUAUUAUACGCACGAAUCUCAAAUAAUGGAAACCAUAGAGCUAAUGGGCUACCGAAGCUAUAUAGGAUUAGCGGUGACAAAUACACACCAUGUCACAGUUGAAUCUGCAUAACAUGGGAGGAUACUAGUAUUAGUGAAAAUCGCGGUUAUGGGCCUCCUGGUGCACUUUGACAUAAGAGAAGCAAGAAGCAAGCAAGUGCACUUGACAAAGCUGCGCGCUGGGUUGGAGGCCCAUCUAAUUGAGGCCCACAUUUUGCUAUGGGUGUGGUUGUUUACCUGGCUAACUCCUAGCCAGGCUCCUGGAGCCAGGCAGCCCAUUUUUGGUUCCCUGGCUAAGCCCAUUAGCCAGGCCCCAGCAAUUGGAUGUGGAUGAUGAUGAACGUUAACAAACCUGCCCGGAGCAGCUUUUCUCUCUUUUAUGUGCUGUGAAUUUUCUAGAGAAAUAUGCAGUGCAUUAAAAAAAUCACUUUCAGGACUUUGCCAUCUCAUAAUUGCAUGGGCAAGCUGAACUUGAGUAAACAUUUAUCUGUGAUCAUCAGCUGAUGCGCUCCAGCUUUAACUGUGUUGAUCGCUGGUGUCAGCGCCACCGUUCCCAUCCCUACUGGCUGCUGGCCUUCAAUUCAGACAAACCUUCCAGGAGCAGAAUUUUUUGUGUGUGAAAUUGUUACCAGGAACAAUAAAAAGAAACUAAAUGGGUCACGACGAUCUUCAUGCUGUUUGGAAGGAACAAGAUUCACCUCGACAGACGCAGAAGUAAUCGUGAACCCAAAUCAAGGAAAACACCAGAGCUCCCGAAUGUGCAUGGGUAAUCAAAUGCAGCAAUGGCUGGUGUGUAUAUAGUGAGAAAACAUGCACAGCGAUUGCGUCAGUUUGGUCUUUGGCGAGAAGCUAUACACUAGUAUCAUAUAAAAAAACACAGGUGGCAACUCAUAUACAAACCAUGAAGCAAGCAUUACCUUUAACAUAAGUUAAUCGAUCACACACUGAAUACAUAGAUAGCAAUGGAUGAAGCACCAGAUCGACAUCAUGGUCAAACGAUAUCUAUGCGAACAAGCAGUGGCGAAAGUCUUGCCAUGUGCCCAAAGUCUCUCUCUCUCUCACACACACACAAUACAUAGUGGCUAAAACGUUUUGCCAUAUCAUAACUGAAAAAAUAGACAUGAUGUAGAACUUGGGUAACAUUUAUUUUUCAGCUGAUGAUGCGCAUUAUAUUAGGCAGCAGCAUGCUCCUGCUUCUUUCUGUUGACGCAAGCGGUCACCUUCCUCCAGUUUGUUCAGCUUGGCUUCGAUACCAGAAGAGGUCUUGAUAAGCCAAGCAACGAUGCAGAGACUAUACACUGUGGUCACUUUUUCCGGAAGGUUUAGUGCCCAGAACCUGCACACAGGAAAUUAAUACUAAGUGCAUGAACAGCGGCCAAACUGAAACCAAAAACACAUGGAUGCAUAGCAAACAUAUAUAGAUGUAGAUAUAGAAACAGCGGCAACUGCUGGGGUAUACAGGGUUGUAAAUCUCCAAAUACUUGCACUCACCUUUCCAACUGUCCCCUCAAGAUUUUAGUCAGGAAGAACAUGGGUUCGUGGCCUCCCACCUGUGUCCUUCCAGUUGCACUCCCAUCAGAAAACAUGCGGCGGUAACCCUGAAUUUUGCAGACAAAUAAGGUAAACUUAACAGCUGGUACGGUAGAACCUACUACAGCAUGUUGCUCUGAAGCUGACAAGCAGCUAGCGAUGCAUCCAUAUUCUCACAGCAAAUUUUUAUUCAAGAAAUAUUUCCACAUCAAGCAGCGUAUAAAAAGAAGCCUAGAUUUAUUGAGCUGAGCUCCUUGCAAUGGUUUGGUUAAAGCAGAUUAAUUGACGCGUUAGGGCAGGGCAGCGAGGACUCCUAUUCAAUUUUUACAGCAACUCCUUCUUUCCCGCCAUCGUCAAAAGGAUGAGGCUAGGUGGUAAUCUAAUCAUGCAUAUAUUGUUCCAUCGCCAAAAGGAUGACUCAGGUUAUUAAUCAUUGUUAAUGCUCCAGGUUGAUGUUGCUAGUUUCAGGGAUUAGUUGAUGUCUGCCAUAUUGCUAAUUAAGGAGGUGUAAGGGAUCGGGCUACUACGAGCUGCAGCGCUGGCGGCGGACGAGGAGGAAGGUCGCCGGAAGUGACGGUAUGGACUCCGCCGCCUGCCUGGACGCCGGCAGCAGGGGUGUGCCUGCAGGGCGACGGAGGAGAAGAGCGGAUCGCCAUGCUCCGUGCUUCACACGGCUCGCCUUCUCUUCUAUCGUCUGUUGCGUUGCGUGGAUUCGUCGGGCGAUCGAUCGAGGGGAUUUGCUGAUCAAUUAGGGCACCACCACCACCGACGGCGGCGGCGCUAUGGACUCUUACACAUGAUAAACACACAAAAAGAACACCGCGACUGUGUCCGCACUCGAUACAACUGCCUCGUCGCGCCCAAUAUAUAUAGCCAUCCAUCAAACCGCAAUCUUCAUCCAUCGAGAAAAUUUUGUGUCAAGACACGAUGUCGCGCAACUACUGUUUCCUUCUAAUCGUCGGUCUUCUUCUAUCGUCGUCCUGCGCCUCCAAGCAGGUGGAGGCGGCGGAGCAAACACCCUGGACCGUCCACGUCCCGAAGCCUGACGGCGCCAUCCAAAGCCUUACCGUCGAGCGCAUCCCGCUGCCCCACGGCAUCACCGGCGCCGAGAGCCUCGCCUUCGACCGUAGAGGCCAGGGGCCCUACGCCGGCGUCUCCGAUGGCCGCGUUCUCCGGUGGGACGGAGACGCCAACGUCUGGACCACGUUCGCGUACAACGCCAACUACAAGAACAACCCUAUCUGCAUGGAGCCCGCACGGCGGCCGGAAGACACGGAGAGCAUAUGCGGCCGCCCGCUCGGUCUGCAGUUCCACGCCAAGACCGGCGAUCUGUACAUCGCCGACGCGUACCUCGGACUGAUGAAGGUCGGGCCGGACGGCGGCGAGGCCGAGGUCCUGGCGGCGGAGGCCGGCGGCGUGCCCUUCAACUUCACCAACGGCGUCGACGUCGACCAAGCCACCGGCGACGUCUACUUCACCGACUCCAGCACCACCUACACGCGCGCGCGCAACACGCAGAUCAUGAUCCACCGCGACACUACGGGGCGGCUGCUCAGGUACGACGCGCGGGCCAAGCGCGUCGCCGUGCUCAAGGCCGGCCUGCCGUACCCCAACGGCGUCGCGCUGAGCGCCGACUGGACGCACGUCGUGGUGGCGCACACGGGGCCGUGCCAGGCGUUUAGGUACUGGAUCAGGGGGCCCAAGGCUGGCCGCUACGAGCUCCUCGCCGACCUGCCGGGCUACGCGGACAACGUCAGGCGAGACACCAAAGGAGGCUACUGGUUCGCGCUCAACAGGGAGAAGAUCAACGCGACGGCUCCGGAGCACCUCGUCGGCGUCCGGGUCAACAGCAAGGGCGCGGAGCAAGAGGUGAUGACGGCGCCCAAGGGUGUCACGCUUAGCGACAUCGCAGAGAAGGACGGUAAGUUAUGGCUGGGAUCAGUGGAACUCGACCAUGCCGGCCUAGUUAAUUUUAAAUAAUUAGUUCUUUAUAGGUUAAGAUUAGAUAAUAAUUAUUAGUGGUUAAGAACUAGUGCUAUAUGCAUUAGGCAAGGUUUGCUUAGGUUUUACAGAAUUUUAGUUGCGAUUUUGAAUUUGAAUGCAGCUACAGCUUGUCUUAUUUUAUCUUGCAUAUUUAAAUUGGAUAUUAUCCCUAGGAAUUGUACGUAUCUUUUAAUUGCGUAUUGAAUUUCCUCUAGUGAAUUACUUCCAAAUGUCAAGGCAUAUAUAUACAUGAGUCACUAAGAUUAAUUAUGGAGAUUGUAAGGGACUGAGAGUCCCUUCUUUUCUGCGUAUCCCUCGUGUCAGCGUGCCUCUUCAUUUUCCGAGCUUGCAUUGGAUUUCUUUUGCUUGGACUCUAAAUUGAACAUAUUGUCGUAUCUAUACACUAUCACAGGAUACCAGGAGCAGACCCAGCGUAGACCCAGUGGCGACACGGACCGCCACUCAGAGUCUAAAUUUUCAAUGGAAUUUGAGCCAUUUUCUUGUAGCUCCAAAGGCCCAUCCGUCGCCACUCAUGUUAUGGGCUAGGUCUGCCCCUGCAGGACUCUAAACCGAACUAAGAAUUUUUAUCUCGCCUCCACAGAGCUUCACAGAGCUUCUCCCUAGCUCAUGACCAAUACUCCCUCCGGGUGCGUUUGGAUGCAGCGGCAAUCCUCACCUGGCCUUGCUUGCACAGAAGUCGGAGCAGCAAAUGUAUUUUGGUUUGCUUGACGUGCUCCCUAGUAUAGGGCUGUGCAAGCAAGUUUUUGCUUCAGCAGCAAGUGAGCCGGAACGGCGCUCCGGCGCCGGCAAGGCAAGCCUUGCCUGGCAAAGCGAGGUCAGGUAAAGCUCUGUCUAAAACCAAAUGUGCCCGCAAUCUCCACCCCUUAGCCUGUCUCCUGAUAAACGGGAAGAACACUCGCGUACUAGCGGAGCCAGGCCUGCACAAGCCACUCGCCCAAGGUACCGUCGCCUCACUUCCCUAAUACCUAGGGGGUGUUUGGGAGCACUCCACUCCAAAUUUUUGAGCUCCACUCCACCAACUCCACCAUAUUGCAGCUCCACUCCACCAACUCAAAAAAAUACCAGAGCUGUCCACAUGUUUGGAAAAAUACACAGAUCCAGCUCCGGAAACAAAAGAUCUUGCUGUGUAAAGUCCAUUAUACCCAUGUGAAUGGGUCCCACUUGUCAGUCUCCUUUAGUUCUCCCUUUCUUCUCCUUUGCUGGUAGGGAAAGGAAGGCCACGAGCAGGCAGGGGCGGGCACGGGGCGCGGCGAGCAGGGGCGGGCGCGCGGCGGGCGCGCCAGGCAGGGGCGGCGCGGUGGAAGGCAGGGGCGGGCGCGGGGUGCGACGGGAGGCUUUUUUUGUUUCGCGAACCGGUAACUUGUGUAACGAGUGGUAAUGGUGGGUAAAUACCCACCAACCCCACGAGGAGGUAUGUAGGUACUCAAAAAAACAUGGAUCUACCCCCGCUCCACCUUUUUUCUGGAACCGAAGUUGCUGGAGCUAGACGUGUUUGGUUGCGAAAUUUUUGAAGUUGGUGGAGUGGAGCAAUUUUUCGUGGAGUGGAGUGCUCCCAAACACCCCCACCCGCCCCGCCGUCCGCACGAAGCGCGACGCCACCACCAUGUCCCGCGCCGCUCGAGUCUCGCCUGGAGGCCGCUACCCCUCAAGAUGCUUCCCGUCAAGGUCAUCUACUUCUGCUCAGGAGGUCAAGACGGUGAGAUAGACGCUAGGGAGUUCGAUUCAUCCGCAUGGAGCUUCGAUUCGCUGGAGCUCAAUGUCAAGACGGCAAGAGAGUAGCGGCGGAGCUUGAUUCGGCCACAUGGAGCCUGAUUCGCUGGAGAGGCGGGCGAGAUUAGCACCUGGUGGCUAAAGAAGACGCCGAGGAUGCGCUUGCCAGCAGUAUGGAGGCGGUGCCGGCGACCAUGAACGUAGCGAGGCUCGCCCCUAAGGCCGGCCGAGGCCCGGCGCGGUGGCGCUCAUCCCCAAGGCCGGCGGAGGCCCUGCGACGGUGCUCACUCGCACGGCUGGCCGGGCCCCGCACGCCGGCACUCACCCCCACGGCUGGAGGAGGCCCCGCUCCGCAGCGCUCGUCCCCAAGGCCGGCCAAGGCUCCGGCGCGGCGGCGCUCGCCCGAACAGCCGGCCCGGCCCCGCACCACGGCGCUCGCUCCCACGGCUGGUCGGGCCCGCGCGGCGGCGCUCCCCCGCCCGGCCAGCAGAGCCCCCGUGGUGGUGCUUGCUCGCCCAGCCAACCGGGCCCGCGCGGCGGCGCACAGCGAGCAGAGGCUCCCGCGACGGUGCGCGCCCGAACGGCUGGCGGAAACCCUGCGCGCGCUCGUCCGUACGGCCGGCGGAGUCCCCAGCGCCGGUGGUCGCCCGCACAGCGUUGCGCGCCCGUGCGGCCGGUGGGGCCACGCUGGUGGAGCUCCCGGCACGGUGGCGUACGGGCGAUGGGAGCCUGCUGGAGGAGGAGCUCGCGGUGCGGUGGCGUACGGCCGGCGAGAGCCUGCUGGAGGAGCUCGCGGCGCGGUGGCGCACGGCCGGUGGAGAAGCUCACCGGUGCGGUACAUGGUCUGAACAAGAUUAGAGAAGAGGAAAUAUCUGGAUGGUAACUUCACCUAUGCUCUACACAAGGUUAUCACAACAAUGUUGUACAGCAACCGAACACAAUCUUGUGCUAACCUUGCUUUCUUUGACCGAGCAACCAAGUACGAGCAAAUUGCAUUGCACUAGAUAGGCUUGAGUUGGCCUGGCUCCAGAUUCUAGCUGGCUAAAACAGACCCUAUAUGGCUAUCGAAUUUAUUUUUCCAUUUCGCUUGCCCAAAUGAUGCCUGCAGCUGCCGGCGCAGCAGGAGCCAGGAGGAGCACCCCCUCGAGCAGAGCACGCGGCCAUGGCCACGCGCCCACGCCUCGUGAGCUCGUGCUCCUUGAGCUCAGCAACAUGAGAGAAACGAGAAGCCCCAAAAUGGCAGAGCCGCGAAACCAGGUGGCGCGCGUCCAACCCCCAGGGAGCACGACGACCCGACAAGCGUAACCGCCGAAACCGCCGCCGCCCGUUCCAGCUCAUGCGCUCCCCGCCACA